AGAUAAAAAGGAAAUGGUGCUCUUCCUUAACCAACCGCAUUAUAAAUGCUGAUGACGCCUGAUUAAUU
rnacentral:ncRNA from 1 species